AUGAAUCCUUGUUUGCAGACUGUAAAUGCACUACAGAAAUAAAGAAAGUGUGUAUGAGAGCUGGCAGAGCAAAGGGGGCAAGCAGAGCCAAGCACCGUGAACAAGGCUCAGGGUCAUAGGGCACACAUGAUAGUGUAAUGCAGGAGGAGUGCGAGCUUUGUCACUGGGCAUUCAGGUCUUCCCUGGCAGGAGACUGCUUACGUGCCACACAGGACCCUGCCACCGUCAAGUCCACUCUCCUGCCUGUGCAGAGGUGGAAGCUGUUCCUAGGCUGAUUUGCAGCAUUAGAGGGCAGGCAGCCACAGCUGAAGGGACCAAAGACAUGCGAGACCCGGGGAUUUGUGUGUGGUGGGCAGAAGAUAACAAAGAGACGGAAGCAAAAACAAGCAUUUUUCAAAAACUGAAGUCAAUCAAAGGAGUAGUAGCAAUAAAGAGGAAGAUUGUUAUCAUGGGGUGAAGAUGAGGCAAUGCCAAGUAUAGUGCCGCGUACAGAGCCUGGAGCAAGGUGAACAAACGCAGGCUCCGGGAUGCCAAGUGACUUCAUAUCAACAUCACCCAGCAGAUUAAGGGAACUGGGCCCAGACUCCUAGGCUCCUGACUACCCAGUCCUGUGCCCAUUCUAGUGGCCACUAUACUCACCCACUGGUUGUAGCCAUAUCUGGCUUAGGCUGGCAACACUUUUGAAGCAAGGAUGAUGCUUUCUUUCUUUUGCCCAAGACCAUUCUUCAUAUAAUAAGACAAUUAACAGAUUGUGGGUUUGAUUUAUAUGUAUGGUGAACUAACACUGGAAUGUAUCUGAAAGAUUGAGGCAGGAGAGGUAGUCAAGGAAGUAACCACGUCUUUCAGACGUGGCAACCGUGAUGACCACCAACACAAUAAGCCCUGGUGUUGACACUGUAGUCAAGCUCAUUCAAGCAAAGCUAUUUUCAGUAGGGAAUUUCCUCUGUAGAGAGCAUGCACAUUUUGAUUUUACCUGUCCUCAAACUGACCCUUUGCUCAUUAUAAUACUAAUAUAAAAAAUACUAAUAUUAAAAAAACCCCUGGGUGGAGAUUUAAGACGUUAAUGAGACAUGCGACCUAUGAAUAAGCAUGUACAGCUACUGCACAUGUGCAUCCAGAGGACCACCCACAAUAUGCUUACUAGUAACAUCUCCUUCCACACCCUUAUGAAUAAUCAUGUAAGAUUCCCAUAAGGGUAGUCUCCCUAGGGCCAGUCCAUGCUUUCUCUUCUUUAUGAGCAGCCUGCCAUGAAUCCUCUCUCAGGGUGCACUGUCUAUUCUGCACCCAGCUUUUAGAAUAUUCUUUCUCUUUUGCAAUAAAUUGCUCUAUGCUGCAGCUCCUUUGCUGUGUGUCUCUUCUUUAAGUUCUUUUAAACUAAUAAGACAAGAACUGAGGUCUCACAACAGCCAUCAACAAGAUUGUUGAAAUUCUGGAAGAGUGAUUUUCCCCAUGGGUAAUACAUUAUUCUUUUUAUUAUUUCAA
rnacentral:lncRNA from 10 species